UUGCUAGGGAUCACUUGUGACUAAUAACACUGCCACACUCAUUGCAUUUUUAAGGUUUCUCCCCAGUACGGAUCCUAUGAUGAUAAGCAAGACGUGAACUGCAACUGAAGACCUUAUCACAUUCAUUGCAUUUGUAAGACAUCUCCCAGUAUGAAUUAUCAUCAGCUGUCUUGCUGGGUCUGAGUUGAGGAUGGAGACCUUGCCACACUCAUUGCAUUUGAAAGGUUUCUCUCCAGUG
rnacentral:lncRNA from 1 species